GAUACCCUAUUAUUUUAAGUGUGAAUUAUUCUUGAGUUACUAAUAGUUAAGUUCUUUAAAAUUAAAAGAUUUGGCGGUAUUUUAGUCUGUUCAGAGGAACCUGUGUUUUAAUUGAUAGUCCACGAUAAUAUAUACCUUACCUUUAAGUUUGCAUAUCGUUGUUUAAAAAAUUUUAUUAGGAAGUUAAUUUUUGAGUUUUAUUAUUAUUACUUAUUUCAGAUCAAGGUGUAGUUUAUGGUGAGGAUAGCAUGGGUUACAUUUAAUUUAUUAUUGGAAUAAUUAAUUAAGAAUUUUUUUGAAAUUGGAUUUGAAAGUAAAUUGUUUAUUUUUUAUAAUUGAUUUAGCUCUAAAGUAUGUACACAUCGCC
rnacentral:rRNA from 1 species